rnacentral:rRNA from 1 species
CAGCCGCCGCGGUAAUACGAAGGGGGCUAGCGUUGUUCGGAUUUACUGGGCGUAAAGGGUGCGUAGGCGGAUUGUUAAGUCAGGGGUGAAAUCCCGAGGCUCAACCUCGGAACUGCCUUUGAUACUGGCGAUCUUGAGUCCGGGAGAGGUGAGUGGAACUGCGAGUGUAGAGGUGAAAUUCGUAGAUAUUCGCAAGAACACCGGUGGCGAAGGCGGCUCACUGGCCCGGUACUGACGCUGAGGCACGAAAGCGUGGGGAGCAAACAGGAUUAGAGACCCCCGUAGUCCCUGUCUCUUAUAA